AUGACUUUCAUCACCAUCUUCAUCUGGACACUGACCUGCUGCUGUUUUAAAGAGUCCAGAGGACAGGUGACAGUGACUCAGACUCCUGUAGUGAAAUCUGCUCUUCCAGGACAAACAGUCACUAUCAGCUGUAAAACCAACAUUGUACCAGAUCACAACGAGGAUAGAAUAUAUGACAUAUACUGGUACCAGCUGAAAUCUGGAGAAUCUCCUAAACUCCUGAUCUACUGGGGAGAUCGUUUACAGUCAGGAACUCCAGAUCGUUUCAGUGGCAGUGGAUCUGAGCUUGACUUCACUCUGACCAUCAGAGGAGUCCAGACUGAAGAUGCAGGAGAUUACUACUGUAAGAGUGCACAUAAGAUCAGUGGUAACUGGGUGUUCACACAGUGA